GGCCUCAUUGAUAAUGUUGGCUGGCCUACUGGGUGUGGAAUGAGACUCAGGGACUCACAUUAAACUAAGAGGAAUGAUUAGAACUUGGCACAAUCUGGAGGCCGGUUCUGGCAGACAAUGUUUCUCAGGAUCACUGACCUCCUUCAUUCUCCUGUGAUAGCCCAAAGUUCAUCACAGGGACUCCUCAACUGCUGGAGUCACGAUUCCAUCCUUCAUCUUUCUGGUGACUAUGCUCUCGCUGCAUCCUCUUCUCUAGUCUCCUUCUGGCUACCCCAGGGAUCUCAGCCCUCUUCUCUCGAAGACCUGUAUGCCUUAAGGUGAGCCUUCUCCAAACGGUUUUUCAAAGGCUCCCUAGUAACUGGAUCUUCUAGCGAACGGAAUCAACCCAUCAUUGUCCAGAGUGAAUCCAGGAAGCAAAAAUCUGCUAAUUAAAGUAGAAGAGUGGCUGAUGGCAUUUUUAAAAGAUUUUCAAAAAAGCUGCUCCUGGUCCUCCAGACCUAACAGGGAGAUUCAUUAGAUACUUGCAUUGUCCUCUACAGCAAACACUCCAAAACUGUCUGGAAGCACAACCAUUCCACUUUCCUCAUGGUUGUUAUGAGUAGACUUUGUCAGCCUUGAAGCAUGUGAACUAUGAAGCAUGUAACAAACAUAGAAAACUACCCGAGCAAAAUCAUCCACCAUGGCUGUAUGCUGGGCCUCGGAGAGCAAAUUAAAACACCAAUGAUUUUAGGACAAAGUCCAUAAACUGGCCAAAUGAAAAGACUCUCUAAAUACAGCAAAUGGUAGCAAAAGCACAGCUACAAUCAAUAAAACGGAAAAUAGCUAAAAGCUGGGUGAGAACACUCAGCAACAACUUUUGCAACAAUAUUUUGUUGACAACCGCCAUCAGCUUUAAGGAAGAAAAAGAUCAUUACAACUCAAUUUAAAACAAAAGUGAAAAAAAACCCUCACCAAAACCAUACCCCAGGAGGACAGUAAAAGAAGAAAUAUCUGUAAUUAACAGCAUUUAAGUCCCUAAAACUAAAAUGCAGAGAGGUGAAGGGUGUAGUCACAAAAGGAGGU